rnacentral:rRNA from 1 species
UACGUAGGGGGCAAGCGUUGUCCGGAUUCAUUGGCGUAAAGAGCGUGUAGGCGGCCAGGUAGGUCGGUUGUGAAAGUCAAGGGCUCAACCCUUGAAAGCCGGUUGAUACUGUCGGGCUAGAGUCCGGAAGAGGCGAGUGGAAUUCCCGGUGUAGCGGUGAAAUGCGCAGAUAUCGGGAGGAACAUCAGUGGCGAAAGCGACUUCCUGGACCAAUACUGACGCUGAGACGCGAAAGCGUGGGGAGCGAACAGG